rnacentral:rRNA from 1 species
AUGGAAUCGGGGGGAGCGACGGCCGGCGUCGGCGCCGAGAAGAAUUCGUGGCCGGAGGUGGUGGGCCUGUCGUCGGAGGAGGCCAAGAAGAAGAUCAUAGAGCACAAGCCGGACGCCAGCGUCCACGUCGUUCCGGCCGACUCCUUCGUCACCAUGGAUUACAACACCGGCCGAGUCAGGGUGUUCGUCGACUCCAACGACAAGGUCACGAAAGCUCCCAGGAUUGGCUAG